UGAGGUAUCCAGAAUCGAGCCUAAGCACGAAGAAGACGAACGGUGGUGAACCAGAUGACAACAAGAAAGAUGGCGCCAGACAUGGUACAAAGUCCCCUUAUACAGGCGGCAGCAGUUCCAAAGGCCAGACUCCAUCAACAACUCCAGCAACCACGUCCAACACCGCGCCAAUGUCGCCGCAACCGUCAC